AAUCCAUGAUGGAGGCACUUGCGUAGGAGAUCCUUGAGUCUCUCAUGUGCUUCUAAAAGUGUCUUAGAAUCCCUUUGUCGGAAUGCAAAAAUCUCUUGCCUCACUCU